rnacentral:rRNA from 1 species
UACGAAGGUGGCAAGCGUUGUUCGGAUUUACUGGGCGUACAGGGAGCGUAGGCGGUUGGAUAAGCCCUCCGUGAAAUCUCCAGGCUUAACCUGGAAAGUGCAGAGGGGACUGUUCAGCUAGAGGAUGGGAGAGGAGCGCGGAAUUCCCGGUGUAGCGGUGAAAUGCGUAGAGAUCGGGAGGAAGGCCGGUGGCGAAGGCAGCCUCCUGGGCCAACACGUGACGCUCAUGCACGAAAGCGUGGGGAGCAAACAGG